AAGACCACUUAAUAAGGCUGCUAACCUUUAUUUAAUGCAAAUCAUUUGGUCUUU
rnacentral:tRNA from 1 species